UGGACACGUAUGUUUUCUUUCAGUUUCUCCUCUAUGUGGGGAAAACUGUACAAGUGUCCUAUAGUAACACAGAAGCUAUCUGUUCAACUCCGGUGAGUUAAUGGGGUUGGAUCGUUCCACUUCUGACAGCU
rnacentral:snoRNA from 1 species